AAACUACUAAUAUUCUUCUAUAUAAAGAGAACAUUUAGCAAUAGGAGAAUGGGCAAUAUUAACCAAAAGAAAAAUAUCAUACGCAGAGAAACAUCAGCUUUAUGUGGUUUAAAAGGAGGAAGAAUUUUAUUUGGAAAAAUGAGAGUUCGGUCCAGUUUUAAGAUACGGCUCGCGGUUACAAUCAUCGCUCAUAUAUUAGUUGCUGAAAAUUAUAUUUUUUGACAUUGGAAAGCUUCAAAAGGUCUUGCUUAUCUUUUAUCUUUUCUGUAUUUAUUCUUCAAAUAUAGAAAUGUUCUUAUUGAAUUUUGUUUGUUGUCUAUAUGAUGCAUCGAGAUUUUAUGAGUUAUGUCAUGAUUAAUAAUCAGAUAAUAAGAUACAUUAUUUAUUAGUAUCAAUUCUUUUUUUUAUGAUUCCAUUUUUGUGUUUAUAAGCUAAAACUGAAAAAGGAUUUGGAGCCUACUGCUGGUUUAUUUAAAUAGAGGAAGAGGAAGAAGAAGAGGUAACAGUAGUGUAAAUAAAAUCUGACAUAAAAUUGUUUAAAUUGGAGAUAUACACAGAUAGUGGUCCUGUUGCUGACUCAGCUUCUUAUAAUUUGUGUUUCACAUUUACUACAAGUCAUUCUUUAAAUUGCAAAUAUACAUAGAUAGUGGUUCUGUUGCUGACUCAGCUUCUUAUAAUUUGUGUUUCACAUUUAUUACAAGUGAUUUACGUACUGUUCAUUUUAAGACCAUGUUUUACGUGUUUUGUUCCUUUUUAUUUUGACUGGAUGUAGAAACUACUAUGUAUUUGAAAAUUGAAUGUUGUGGUUUGAAUUGACAUAAUCU
rnacentral:lncRNA from 1 species